rnacentral:rRNA from 1 species
GGACGAACGCUGGCGGCGUGCUUAACACAUGCAAGUCGAACGGAAAGGCCCUGCUUUUGUGGGGUGCUCGAGUGGCGAACGGGUGAGUAACACGUGAGUAACCUGCCCUUGACUUUGGGAUAACUUCAGGAAACUGGGGCUAAUACCGGAUAGGAGCUCCUGCUGCAUGGUGGGGGUUGGAAAGUUUCGGCGGUUGGGGAUGGACUCGCGGCUUAUCAGCUUGUUGGUGGGGUAGUGGCUUACCAAGGCUUUGACGGGUAGCCGGCCUGAGAGGGUGACCGGCCACAUUGGGACUGAGAUACGGCCCAGACUCCUACGGGAGGCAGCAGUGGGGAAUAUUGCACAAUGGGCGGAAGCCUGAUGCAGCAACGCCGCGUGCGGGAUGACGGCCUUCGGGUUGUAAACCGCUUUCGCCUGUGACGGAGCGUGAGUGACGGUAAUGGGUAAAGAAGCACCGGCUAACUACGUG